AUGAGAAAGUGUUUGCGGAUGCUUGUUGGGCCCUCUCUUAUCUUUCUGAUGGAACCAAUGACAAAAUCCAAUCUGCAUCCGUCUCUUGUUCCUGCUCUUCCUAGUAUUAUUGGUAACAUCGUCACUGGAGAUGAUGCACAGACACAGUAUGUAGAUUUAGUCAUGAUGCACUCCUUAGCCUUUUGAGCCUUCUGACUCACAACCAUAACAAGAGCAUUAAAAAGGAAGCUUGCUGGACAAUCUCGAUCAUCACUGCUGGAAAGAGGACCAGGCUUCUGUAUGUGAAGCUUGGUUUGAUUUGCCGUCUCGUCAGUCUCCUGACCAGAUCAAGAUUAUCACGGUGGGUCUAGAAGGAUUGAAAGAGGAAGCCGAGACAUUUACCACCUGGUGGUAAUGAUGCAGCCGCAAUCGCCAGGUGGAUUCAAACCAAUAACUCUCAUACUCCUAAGUCAUUGUACCUUUUGCGUGUGUGGGAUCAAGAGCAG